AUGCCCCACUCGAUUCUGUGGUUGAUCAGUGCCCCCAGGCGCCGAACACAAACGCUCAUCGGAGCCCUUGCAAAAGGUGUUGGUUGGUCGAGACAGCAAGGUGGUGGCCAUGGAAGUUGGAAUCCGCGAAGGAGUGUAAUGACUUCACUGCCGUAUCAACUGGCCCUGGAAAUGGAUGGCGCUCCAGCUUCUGAGGUCGCUGUGUCCUGCAAAUUCAACAGACAUUUGAUAUCAGCGGCAAGAUCCCUUUGCAACAAUUUAUUUUCAAGACUCGCAAAAGAGGAAGAACAGAAAUACUUAUGGAAGAGGUGGAAUGCAGAAUGGAUCAGGAUGCAACAGUACAAAAGGAACAGCAGAAAGAGAGGUGUGGGAACCAACAGCAUGGCUGAAGGACAGAAGAGACAGAGACGGACAAGCAAGAGAAGUGGGGUGGAAAGAGGGGGUAGGGGAGGAUGCACAGAGUGGACAAUAUGGAAACACAAGGAAAUUCUGAGGAAGGAAAAACUGGAAGUUUUGAAGGAGGUGAGCUUGGCGUGGGAUUUAAUAGGGGUAGAGAACAUCAUGGUUUUGGAUUUGGGAUGAUUUGAGAUGGUCGUGAACAGCUGUCUUGAAGACCUGGUGGGAAGAGUGAGAUUGAAGAGAAUGUGGAAGUUGGUUUCACAGAUGGGCCAAAAGAUGAAUGAAUGAGUGGAAGUGAGUAAUGAUUCUAGAUUUUGGGCAAUUCUUUUGAAAAAGUUCAAAUAAUCCAGCAAGGCCUUCAACUUUGUAAAAAGCCUUAGGCUUUACAGCUCCAACAUGAACCUUACACUUUGGAAAAAAAAAACACCACAAAUUAAAUUAUAUUUCAUAUGCAGCCUAUGGCUGCUGGUUGCAUCAUUGCUGAGAAUGCAGCUGUGCCAAUGAUGCAGUUCCCCCUGUUUCCAGUGAGCUGGUCCUCAUUUUGCCAACCUCAGAGGAAUGACAGGCUGAGUCACCCACUGGAUGUUAUUUAAUGGCACAACAGGGGCUCAAGCUCCAGACUAUAAGAUCUUAAGCUAGCCAUCCUUCACCAUUAAGCCAACACCAGGCUGUUAACACCACAAAUCAGGUUUCAACAUUGAAGGAUAUGUACUAAAUAUAAAUAUGAAAACCCAAAUUUAAAACGGCUGCCAAAUGGUUCAUCUAAAAUAGAAAAUGAGGAUGCGCAAGACUCUUUACACAAGUGCUAUUACCACAUACAUUUUGGUUGGAUUCCGUGAACUUCAGUUUUCAAUCAGCGAUGCAAUCGGUUUCCCUUUGGUCCUUCGUUUAAACCAGCAUUUGUCGAUGUCAAUCAAUAUGUAGAUCAAGCACUAUAGAAAUCCUGAUUAGAUCACAAAUGACCCGAUAAAACUAUCCUGAUACAAAAAUGUUACCUGUGAGAAUACAAAUAUUGGUAACUCCCCUCAUAUGUGGCGUUGUUAUCACUGCAGCGUCCGUUUCACUCGAUGAAGGAAAAACAAAUUUUCUGCCCCAUCUGGAACGAGACAUUUUCUUCAGUUUUAUUUUAGCACUGGAUAAGCUAAGUGAAUAAUUAAAGCUGCAC
rnacentral:lncRNA from 1 species